GCUUCUAUGGCCAAGUUGGUAAGGCACCUCACUUGUAUAACUUUGUUGUCCAGGGUCAUGAGGCGAUCCAUGGUUCGAAUCCGUGUGGAAGCA
rfam:Hyphopichia burtonii NRRL Y-1933 unplaced genomic scaffold HYPBTscaffold_1, whole genome shotgun sequence.